rnacentral:rRNA from 1 species
CCUACGGGCGACAGCAGUGAGGAAUAUUGGUCAAUGGGCGCGAGCCUGAACCAGCAAAGUCGCGUGAAGGAUGAAUGCCCUACGGUUUGUAAACUUCUUUUAUAAAGGAAUAAAGUGAGCCACGUGUGCCUUUUUGUCUAUACUUUAUGAAUAAGGAUCGGCUAACUCCGUGCCAGCAGCCGCGGUAAUACGGAGGAUCCGAGCGUUAUCCGGAUUUAUUGGGUUUAAAGGGAGCGUAGAUGGGUUGUUAAGUCAGUUGUGAAAGUUUGCGGCUCAACCGUAAAAUUGCAAUUGAUACUGGCAGUCUUGAGUACAGGUGAGGUAGGCGGAAUUCGUGGUGUAGCGGUGAAAUGCUUAGAUAUCAGGAAGAACCCCGAUUGCGAAGGCAGCUUACUAAACUGCCACUGACAUUGAUGCUCGAAAGUGUGGGUAGCAAACAGGAUUAGAUACCCCAGUAGUC